rnacentral:tRNA from 1 species
ACUCGGGUAGUGCAAACGGUUAACACGCUUGGUUGUUAACCAAAAGGUUGGCGGUUGGAGUCCACCCUGAGGUG